rnacentral:rRNA from 1 species
GCAUGUGGCUUAAUUUGACUCAACGCGGGAAAUCUUACCGGGUCCGGACACACUGAGGAUUGACAGGCAAUAUUAAUACAUUGGCGUUUACGUUUUUUGUAUUAUGUUAAAUAUGCUAGUCCUUUCAUGAUUAUGUGAUAGGUGGUGCAUGGCCGUUCUUAGUUCGUGGAGUGAUCUGUCUGCUUAAUUGCGUUUCACUAAGGACCUAUACAUUUACGUGUGUUGCAGCACUUUGACCCCUCUUUUCUCAACUUCUGUUGUUUAAGAGCGUGUGUCUUAGCUUUUGCUUGCUCGCACAACUAGGUCCUGAAAGCAACGAACGUGACCGCAACCUCUUGUUGCCUUUUGAUACCAACAGUUUCUUUCUUCGCACUUUGUGUGAAUGAUUGACUGCAUAAAGGCUUUUUAAACUAGAGGGACCGCUGUUACUUUCUUAAACCAGAGGAAGGUUGCGGCAAUAACAGGUCUG